CAGCCGCCGCGGGAAUACGAAGGGGGCUAGCGUUGCUCGGAAUGACUGGGCGUAAAGGGCGCGUAGGCGGAUGGCACAGUCAGAUGUGAAAUUCCCGGGCUUAACCUGGGGGCUGCAUUUGAUACGUGUUGUCUAGAGUGAGGAAGAGGGUCGUGGAAUUCCCAGUGUAGAGGUGAAAUUCGUAGAUAUUGGGAAGAACACCGGUGGCGAAGGCGGCGACCUGGUCCUAUACUGACGCUGAGGCGCGAAAGCGUGGGGAGCAAACAGGAUUAGAUACCCCCGUAGUCCCUGUCUCUUAUAC
rnacentral:rRNA from 1 species